ACAAAGUCGACAUAUCAUUUGAAAUUGGAAUGGGAGAACCUCAGAGGUCAUGGAUUAUCCUACAUUAUAUAAAGAAGUAAUAUAUAGAGUAUAAUAUCAUCUAGCAUAUAUACGACAACAUGAUGUGGCCAAAACAACCCAUUAAGAAAUCAAUAGACGGCGAGGAGAAGUGGAAGGGCAUUAAGACAAAGUUGGCCAAAUGGCAUAUCGAGUUGCCAUGGCUGGUCUCCACG
rnacentral:lncRNA from 1 species